CUAACUGGUAAACACGAACACACAUUCUGUUCUAAUCAGUGUGAAAACUGGUUUCCCUGCUUUUGGUGGGGUCUUUUUAACAUUCAUUUUUGGAACUACUGCUUUAGGUUAGCUUGCUAGCCAAUCGCGGUACGGUCUCCGAGGGCUUUCCCCAUCCGUCGUGAGGCCAACUACAU
rnacentral:snRNA from 1 species